CUUGAAGGCAAAAUGUAAAAUUUCAGGCACCUGGGAUACUGAAAAGUGCAGUGCCAGUGAAAAGAAACUUUAGUGGCGAUUUUGUUAGUGGGGCUUAUUACGUGUCUAUUUAUAUAGAUAAAUAUUGUUACCUGCAGAAUCACGCUGCUUCUGAGGGGUCUGAUGCUACAGCCACUGCACCUGCAGAACUCCCACUGAAAUGAAGUCAACAGAGAGAGAUGAAGUCAUCAAGAAAGAACACGCGGAGGGAAGAGGAGAACCUUAUUUUGAGAUACACUUCAAAAAAUUGCUGGACUGUAUUUGGGCAACAGAGAAGACACCCCAUCAUCCUGCACCUAGGAAAUGACCAGGCAUGUGUUUGCGUUCAUGAAAACGGGAUCUCAACCAGUCUUGUUUGAAACACUGCACAGGACAUUUGGGGUGAGAUAAAAUUCUUUAGACAGGUUAGCCUGUCACGUUGGGUAGUCUCUAAAAAGCAUGCUGUGAUUUUAUUUUAUAUGUAGGGCUACCAGACAUCUCAUUUUUAAAAGGGACAGUCCCGUAUUUAAGCCCUCCUGCAGGUGUAACGACAUUUUUUUUU